AAGGGUAUAGCUCAGUGGUUAGAGCACACGCUUAGAAUGCACAAGGUUCUGGGUUCAAUCUCCAGUACCUCCA
rnacentral:tRNA from 1 species